AGGUUGUAGGUAUAUACUAUGGAGCUAAGAGACAAUACGAGCCAGUACCAGGAAAGACAAUUGAUUGGCCGGGUAGUGUGAUUCCACCUGAUACUCCAAAAUGUGGAUUUGAAAAUGAGUUGUGCCCACCUACCGAUAACAGUCCAAUGACUCUUUGGAUCAUGGGUGCAAUGGCCAUUAUCAUUCUGAGUGCUGUUGUCAUUAUUCUCUUUGUGUUGAGGAAAUAUCGGUUGGAGAGAGAAUUAUCAAACAUGUCAUGGCGAAUACGAUGGGAGGACAUUAGUUUCAAUAGCAAAGGAGAUAAGAUGCGUAAACUUGGAAGUCGGAUGAGUCUCGC